rnacentral:rRNA from 1 species
GACGAACGCUGGCGGCGUGCUUAACACAUGCAAGUCGAACGGAAAGGCCCUGCUUUUGUGGGGUUCUCGAGUGGCGAACGUGUGAGUAACACGUGAGUAACCUGCCCUUGACUUUGUGAUAACUUCAGGUAACUGGUGCUAAUACCGGAUAUGAGCUCCUUCUGCAUGGUGGGGGUUGGAAAGUUUCGGCGGUUGGGUAUGGACUCGCUGCUUAUCAGCUUGUUGGUGGGGUAGUGGCUUACCAAGGCUUUGACGGGUAGCCGGCCUGAGAGGGUGAACGGCAACAAUGGGACUGAGAUACGGAGCAGACUGCUACGGGAGGCAGCAGGGGGGAAUAUUGAACAAUGGGCGGAAGCGUGAUGAAGAAACGCCGCGUGCGGGAUGAAGGCCUUCGGGUUGUAAAAAGAUUUCGAAUGUGAAGAAGAGUGAGUGACGGUAAUGGGUAAAGAAGCACCGGCUAACUACGUG